GGAAGUAAAAAUCGUAACAAGGUCUCCGUAGGUGAACCUGCGGAGGGAUCAUUACAGAGUUCUCGCCCUCGCGGGUAGAUCUCCCACCCACUGUUAUCGUUACUGUGUUGCUUUGGCGGGCCGCCGGGCCCCGCUCGGCCGCCGGCUCCGGCUGGCGCGCGCCCGCCAGAGGCCCAGCAAACUCUGAAUGUUAGUGUCGUCUGAGUACUAUAUAAUAGUUAAAACUUUCAACAACGGAUCUCUUGGUUCUG
rnacentral:misc_RNA from 1 species